UACGUAGGUGGCAAGCGUUAUCCGGAAUUAUUGGGCGUAAAGCGCGCGUAGGCGGUUUUUUAAGUCUGAUGUGAAAGCCCACGGCUCAACCGUGGAGGGUCAUUGGAAACUGGAAAACUUGAGUGCAGAAGAGGAAAGUGGAAUUCCAUGUGUAGCGGUGAAAUGCGCAGAGAUAUGGAGGAACACCAGUGGCGCAGGCGACUUUCUGGUCUGUAACUGACGCUGAUGUGCGAAAACGUGGGGAUCAAACAGGAUUAGA
rnacentral:rRNA from 1 species